rnacentral:rRNA from 1 species
UGGGGAAUUGUUCGCAAUGGGCGCAAGCCUGACGACGCAACGCCGCGUGGAGGACGAAGAUCUUCGGGUCGUAAACUCCUUUCGAUCGGGACGAAUGGCUGGUGGUCUAACACACCAUCAGAGUGACGGUACCGAGAGAAGAAGCCCCGGCUAACUCCGUGCCAGCAGCCGCGGUAAUACGGGGGGGGCAAGCGUUGUUCGGAAUUACUGGGCGUAAAGGGCGCGUAGGCGGCCUACUAAGUCGGACGUGAAAUCCCUCGGCUCAACCGAGGAACUGCGUCCGAUACUGGCAGGCUGGAAUCCGGGAGAGGGAUGUGGAAUUCCAGGUGUAGCGGUGAAAUGCGUAGAUAUCUGGAGGAACACCGGUGGCGAAGGCGGCAUCCUGGACCGGUAUUGACGCUGAGGCGCGAAAGCUAGGGGAGCAAACG